rnacentral:rRNA from 1 species
AUACGUAGGUGGCAAGCGUUGUCCGGAAUUAUUGGGCGUAAAGCGCAUGUAGGCGGUGCCUUAAGUCUGUCGUGAAACUGCGGGGCCUAACCCCGUAUGGCGAUGGAAACUGUGGCACUUGAGUGCAGGAGAGGAAAGGGGAACUCCCAGUGUAGCGGUGAAAUGCGUAGAUAUUGGGAAGAACACCGGUGGCGAAGGCGCCUUUCUGGACUGUGUCUGACGCUGAGAUGCGAAAGCCAGGGUAGCGAACGGGAUUAGAUACCCCGGUAGUCCUAGCCGUAAACGAUGGGUACUAGGUGUGGGAGGUAUCGACCCCUUCCGUGCCGGAGUUAACGCAAUAAGUACCCCGCCUGGGGAGUACGGCCGCAAGAUUGAAACUCAAAUGAAUUGACGGGG